CUGCGAAUGGCUCAUUAAAUCAGUUAUCGUUUAUUUGAUAGUACCUUACUACAUGGAUACCUGUGGUAAUUCUAGAGCUAAUACAUGCUAAAAACCCCGACUUCGGGAGGGGUGUAUUUAUUAGAUAAAAAACCAAUGCCCCUCGGGGCUCCUUGGUGAAUCAUAAUAACUUAACGAAUCGCAUGGCCUUGCGCCGGCGAUGGUUCAUUCAAAUUUCUGCCCUAUCAACUUUCGAUGGUAGGAUAGUGGCCUACCAUGGUGGCAACGGGUAACGGGGAAUUAGGGUUCGAUUCCGGAGAGGGAGCCUGAGAAACGGCUACCACAUCCAAGGAAGGCAGCAGGCGCGCAAAUUACCCAAUCCCGACACGGGGAGGUAGUGACAAUAAAUACUGAUACGGGGCUCUUUUGGGUCUCGUAAUUGGAAUGAGUACAAUCUAAAUCCCUUAACGAGGAACAAUUGGAGGGCAAGUCUGGUGCCAGCAGCCGCGGUAAUUCCAGCUCCAAUAGCGUAUAUUAAAGUUGUUGCAGUUAAAAAGCUCGUAGUUGAACCUUGGGUCUGGCUGGCCGGUCCGCCUCACCGCGAGUACUGGUCCGGCUGGACCUUUCCUUCUGGGGAAUCCCAUGGCCUUCACUGGCUGUGGGUGGAACCAGGACUUUUACUGUGAAAAAAUUAGAGUGUUCAAAGCAGGCCUUUGCUCGAAUACAUUAGCAUGGAAUAAUAGAAUAGGACGUGCGGUUCUAUUUUGUUGGUUUCUAGGACCGCCGUAAUGAUUAAUAGGGAUAGUCGGGGGCGUCAGUAUUCAGCUGUCAGAGGUGAAAUUCUUGGAUUUGCUGAAGACUAACUACUGCGAAAGCAUUCGCCAAGGAUGUUUUCAUUAAUCAGGGAACGAAAGUUAGGGGAUCGAAGACGAUCAGAUACCGUCGUAGUCUUAACCAUAAACUAUGCCGACUAGGGAUCGGGCGGCGUUUCUAUGAUGACCCGCUCGGCACCUUACGAGAAAUCAAGGUUUUGGGUUCUGGGGGGAGUAUGGUCGCAAGGCUGAAACUUAAAGAAAUUGACG
rnacentral:rRNA from 1 species